rnacentral:rRNA from 1 species
GAACGCUAGCGACAGGCUUAACACAUGCAAGUCGAGGGGCAGCAUAAAAGUAGCAAUACUUGGUGGCGACCGGCGCACGGGUGAGUAACGCGUAUGCAACCUACCUAUCAGAGGGGAAUAACCCGGCGAAAGUCGGACUAAUACCGCAUAAAACAGGGGCACCGCAUGGUGAUAUUUGUUAAAGAAAUUCGCUGAUAGAUGGGCAUGCGUUCCAUUAGGUAGUUGGUGAGGUAACGGCUCACCAAGCCGACGAUGGAUAGGGAACUGAGAGGUUGGUCCCCCACACUGGUACUGAGACACGGACCAGACUCCUACGGGAGGCAGCAGUGAGGAAUAUUGGUCAAUGGGCGGGAGCCUGAACCAGCCAAGUCGCGUGAAGGAAGAAGGAUCUAUGGUUCGUAAACUUCUUUUGCAGGGGAAUAAAGUGCAGGACGUGUCCUGUUUUGUAUGUACCCUGAGAAUAAGGAUCGGCUAACUCCGUGCCAGCCGCCGC